UAUAGAGUGCCCCGAUGAUAACUACAAAUUCUGAAAACAGCGGAGUUCUUUUAAGACACAUGUUAAAGAAUAAUUGAACCUUGAAAAGAGGAAGGUACAAUGACAUAAAGUCUAUGAUCUGUAGAAGAGAAUAAGAAGUCAUCAACAUGUAUCUUCUGAAAGGGAAACUCACCGUCUUUGACAUACCAGCUGAAAGACAUGAAAUCCUCUUAUUUUUAUUGCUUCACAUUGCUCCCAGGCGACUUCCUCAGCAAUUCAGCCAAGUUAUCGUGAGGUUCUCAAGAAUAAAACCUGAGAAUAAACCCUGAAUGGGAAUCUUGGAUAAAGAAACAUAAAAUGCUUCAUUCUCUUCAUACCAAGAAGGCUUAACAGUUCUGUUGAACACUGAUAUGUCAUCUAAUCAGAAUGAUCAUUCCCAGAUGUGUGUGAUGGUAGCAUACCACAUCGAGCUGUGAAAAUGUAUUGAUACUCUUGACUUCUGCUACUCGAAGGCUCACAAGACCUCUGGACAGAAAUGUACAAAUUCUGGUCUAAUGACAUGAACACCAAACCAAUAUCACUUAUCCAGAAUAGUAAUCAGUGAAGAGUAUAAACUGGAAAAAUAUGUUGUGUAAGGUCAUUGAUAUUGAUGUAAACUCUUUAGAACUGGAACUCCAUUUAGAGAUCACGGGGAAGAAAAAGGUUUUGUUUUCCCCUUUCUCCUAAAGGUAUUUCUAUGUAGAUUUGGCCAUUAGAUUUAGUGGCAGUGAUUAUUAUGUUUAUGGAAAAUGCCUUUCAUAACGUUAUAAAAAUCACAUUGCAUGAGGAGAUAACUAUAUCAUUCUAACAAUCAGAGACUCAUUUGCUUCAUGGCACUUCAGCAUCACAUUUAAAUGCCACUGUAUUACUCCUUGCAUACUGAUGUUUAGUUAAUUUUAACAUCAUUGAUAAUUGGAUUAGACAGUUGACAAAAAGAUGAAAAAGAGAAUAAAAAUUAUUCCAAUAUAUUUCAAUACCAUACUUUUGGUAUUACCUGAAGUUACUCCCGUCUGUGACUGGGGGAUAAAAGCAGAUUCAGGCCCUUAGUCCUUGCUCCAGGCAAUAUGCGAGCUAAGUCAAAGUCGAAUGGUGGAACCAUUAUGAAAAGUUUAUAACAUACUGGGGGAAGAAGCAUCAUAGCCAUACCUGAAGGUACACAGUCUCUACAGAAAUGCUAGAUAACUUUCUCUGUCUAGAUAAAUCUGCUUUCUGGAAAGACAUAUCAGAAGAUAAAGAUGGAAAAAGGACAAAUGACACAAGAUUGUAUUCUUCUGGAACUCUUAUGACCUAAGAAAUAUGCUAAAGAUCUGGGAAAAGCUAUCCAUGAUAUAAUGUCAGAGGCAGUCAAACUGCAAUCAAAAGGCUGAAUGACCAACUGAAUGUCAAAUGUCAAUUGAACAAGUUCCAGAACUCACAUGAGCUGGCUAUAAUACUAUGCUAAAGGCCAAAGCUCAGCAUGGAGCACUCCACUUUGCUAACACACUUACAUUGAUAAGUCUAGUCUAAGAAGCAAGCCUUCCCAGCCCAUGGGAUAGGUCAGGCCAGCAGUUGUUUUCACUAAAGAGUGUAGAAAGGUUUUUGUCUUUCAGAGGUGGGUGACAGAAACAUAGUUUAGCUGCACAGAUACGAUCUGUACAGUUUGACUUGCCUUCAAGGCCUAAGAAUGGGAUCUACUCAAUUUUAUUUACCACUAAGAUACAGUUUCAGAUACCAGAAUGGGAGUGAAGUGUCAACACUGAAAUACAGAAUAUACAUACAGCACUGUUUUCUGUAUGUAUAAAAACAUUACUUUCCAGCUUGAGAAUUGCAACAGUAUUUGGAUUUGAAGGCUUUUCCUCUUCAGAAGAAGUACAUCCAUCACUUCACACGAUUAUUCAUAAAAGCUGCUCUUCAUUUAUGGCUUACAGAACACAGGUGUGUUUAGAAUUUAUUGUGCAUAAUCUUUAAAGGUCAGUGCACAUAUUUACAGCUUUGCUGCAUAAAAAUUUGCUGUUGAAUGUAGUUUUAGGUCACCGUACUCAACGCUCAAUUCAGCUGAGGUCAGAAAAGAGAAAGAAUGUACAAGGAGACAUAAGCAUUAUAAAGAAAACCAAUAAUAAAGAAGACAAACGUUAUGUUAUUUAUAUGAGACAAAACUCAGAUCUAUUCAGUCCAAAAACAGUAUCUUUCAGAACUUUAUAAACAAUUAGGAGCAAGGUUAACCUGGAAAUCACUUUGGAAGCUUAACUGUAGCUAAAGUAAUAAUGGCAUUUUAAAGACUAUUUAUAGAUGGAAUAUUCCCUGUAGAAUUUUUUUUUUGUUUGCUUGUAAGUAAUUUUCUAUAAUAAAGGCAGUGAGUUUUUAUUUUAUUCCAUAUUAAAUUACAGAUUACUAUUCAACAGAGAGUUACAGUGUCUACUGAUGCAUUGCAUGCAAGAAGAAAGCACUUAAGAAAUCCAGGUGAUUGUGAAAGUAUCUUAGCUGCAAUUCCAUAAGUAUCUGUAUCUUCCAUUAUAUCAACUAAAGUAUCUAAAUGUCCUUCUGGAAUACAUUCAUUGUAAUUGAUAGAUAGGUUUCUUGUCAUUGUAACACUGUCUAGUAUUCUCACUGUCUAGUAGGAUUGUUUUCCAUUGUGUUCCAUAUAUGUACAAAGCAGUGCUAUUGUUUUUAAGUUUUGGUGCUUGAGUGACUGGAUAUAAUACAGAGAUUGUGCUUCGUAAACGUAACAUGAACAUUACAGGAACACAAUCACUUUGUCUACUAAAGAAAGAAGAGUUAAUUUGUAAACCACAGACAAUAAGAAAAAUAACCAAAAGACAAAGAACAGAAGGAGUCAUUCAUUUGUGUAUUAGCUAAAUUAAAUCCACUACAUUAAAUUCCUCUCUCUCAUGAAUAUCUGUAUUGACCAGAACCCCCAUCUGUUUUCAUGUUAAAGCUGUAGAGAAAAAAAAAGAGGAAAU